AAAGUUAAGGAAUAAAUUUAUAUAUCAGCAAAUACUCAAAUAAUAAGAUGGCCACACAGAUUAGACAAAUUAAUCCC